rnacentral:rRNA from 1 species
UGUUGAAAGUUAAUUGAAUAGUAUUUUUUGGUAUGUCUUUAUUAGUUUUAUUUUUUUAUUUAUAGGAGUUAUGAUAAUAAAUAUAAAUUUUAUAUUUUUAUUAUAUUUUUUACUGAAAAGGAGUUUUAUAGGAGUUAAUAAUAGGGUAGUUGAGUAUUAGUACCUUUUGCAUCAUGGAUAAUUAAAAUAUUUUAUUAUUAUUUAAUCUCGAAUUAUCAUUAUUUAAUUUAUUAAAAUUUAUUUUGUUUUAUAUAAAUAUUAGAUAGUAGAUUAGAAAUUAUAUGUUAUUCACUUGGUAGGAUAUCUAGUUGCUUAAGAAUUGUUUUAAUAGUAGCAUUUUUGAUUGAAGAAUUGUUGGAUUGAUUGAGAUAAUUUAAUUAGUUUUAAUAUAUGAGGUUUAUGUCAGGUUUAGAAUGGAAUUAUAUAAAUAAGGUUUAAUAUUUUUAUUAAUUUAAUAUUUAAAUUAUGUUUGUGUUGUGGUUUUUUGUUUUCAUUAUUUUGUUAUUAAGUAAUUUUAAAAAUUGUAUUAAAAUAUAUAUAAUGAUUAUAUUAGUAAAGUUUGGAGAUUAUAUUUUUUAUUUUAUUUUUGUUUUAAUUUAGUUAGAUUUUUUAUUAUAUUAUGGAUUAUAAUUUUUGUUAAAGAAUUUGGCAAUUAUUUAGAUUGACUGUUUAUUAAAAACAUUUUUUUUAAGUAUUAAAUAUAAAACCUGCUCACUGACAUAAGUUAAAGAGCCGCAAUAUUUUGAUUGUGCUAAGGUAGCAAAAUAAUUAGUUUAUUAAUUGUAAACUUGUAUGAAUGGUUUAACAAAUUUAAUUCUUUUUUGAUAUUAUGUUUUGAAUUUUUUUUUAAAGUGCAAAUACUUUAAUGUUUUAAAAAGAAGAUAAGACCCUAAGAAUUUUUUUAUUUGAUUUAUUUUUAUUAGUAUUUAAAUUUAAUUGAUUGUUAAAUUAAUUGGGGCGAUUUUUAAGUAUUUUUUAACCUUAAAUUUAUUUUUACUAUUAUUUAGUUAUUUGUUGGAUGAUUAGAAUAUAAAUGUUAAAUUACCUUAGGGGUAACAGCGUUAUAAUUUUUUGGAGUUCUUAUCUUAAUUUUUGAUUGCGACCUCGAUGUUGGAUUAAGUUUUUUUUUGAAGCAUAAGUUAAAUAUUUUAAGUCUGUUCGACUUUUAUAAACUUACAUGAUCUGAGUUUAGACCGGCGUAAGCCAGGUUGGUUUCUAUCUUUUAAUUGGAGUUAUUUUUUUUAGUACGAAAGGAAUUAUCAGGAUUAGUAGUAUUGUGUAAAUAUAAGUGUUAAUUUAUAAGAUUUUGAAAUAUUAUUA